UGAGGUAGAGGCAUCUAGCUGUACAGUUAGUGAGGUAGAGGCAUCUAGCUGUACAGUUAGUGAGGUAGAGGCAUCUAGCUGUACAGUUAGUUAGUGAGGUAGAGGCAUCUAGCUGUACAGUUAGUUAGUGAGGUAGAGGCAUCUAGCUGUACAGUUAGUUAGUGAGGUAGAGGCAUCUAGCUGUACAGUUAGUUAGUGAGGUAGAGGCAUCUAGCUGUACAGUUAGUUAGUGAGGUAGAGGCAUCUAGCUGUACAGUUAGUUAGUGAGGUAGAAGCUUCUAGCUGUACAGUUAGUUAGUGAGGUAGAAGCAUCUAGCUGUACAGUUAGUUAGUGAGGUAGAAGCUUCUAGCUGUACAGUUAGUUAGUGAGGUAGAGGCAUCUAGCUGUACAGUUAGUUAGUGAGGUAGAGGCAUCUAGCUGUACAGUUAGUUAGUGAAGUAGAGGCAUCUAGCUGUACAGUUAGUUAGUUAGAAGCUUCUAGCUGUACAGUUAGUUAGUGAGGUAGAAGCUUCUAGCUGUACAGUUAGUAAGUGAGGUAGAGGCAUCUAGCUGUACAGUUAGUUAGUGAGGUAGAGGCAUCUAGCUGUACAGUUAGUGAGGUAGAAGCAAAACGCUGGUCGCCGUUGGCAGUAAGUAACGUAACAACUUUUAAUGCAUUUCUCAGCAAAGGGUAGGUUUAUAAAGGUGUGUAAACAGCAUUUACCCUCCACUAUGGAAGUUAGGGUGGAGGGGUUAGGGUGUAGUGUGGAGGGGUUAGGGUGUAGUGUGGAGGGGUUAGGGUGUAGUGUGGAGGGGUUAGGGUGUAGUGUGGAGGGGUUAGGGUGUAGUGUGGAGGGGUUAGUGUGUAGUGUGGAGGGGUUAGUGUGUAGUGUGGAGGGGUUAGUGUGUGUAAACAGCAUUUACCCUCCACUAUGUAAGUUAGGGUGUAGUGUGGAGGGGUUAGGGUGUAGUGUGCAGGGGUUAGGGUGUAGUGUGGAGGGGUUAGGGUGUAGUGUGGAGGGGUUAGGGUGUAGUGUGGAGGGGUUAGGGUGUAGUGUGGAGGGGUUAGGGUGUAGUGUGGAGGGGUUAGGGUGUAGUGUGCAGGGGUUAGGGUGUAGUGUGCAGGGGUUAGGGUGUAGUGUGGAGGGGUUAGUGUGUGUAAACAGCAUUUACCCUCCACUAUGUAAGUUAGGGUGUAGUGUGCAUGGGUUAGGGUGUAGUGUGGAGGGGUUAGGGUGUAGUGUGGAGGGGUUAGGGUGUAGUGUGGAGGGGUUAGGGUGUAGUGUGGAGGGGUUAGGGUGUAGUGUGGAGGGGUUAGGGUGUAGUGUGGAGGCGUUAGGGUGUAGUGUGGAGGCGUUAGGGUGUAGUGUGGAGGCGUUAGGGUGUAGUGUGGAGGCG